rnacentral:rRNA from 1 species
UUAAGCGACUAAGCGUACACGGUGGAUGCCCUGGCAGUCAGAGGCGAUGAAGGACGUGCUAAUCUGCGAAAAGCGUCGGUAAGGUGAUAUGAACCGUUACAGCCGGCGAUGUCCGAAUGGGGAAACCCAGUGCAAUUCGUUGCACUAUCGUUAACUGAAUACAUAGGUUAACGAGGCGAACCGGGGGAACUGAAACAUCUAAGUACCCCGAGGAAAAGAAAUCAACCGAGAUUCCCCCAGUAGCGGCGAGCGAACGGGGAGCAGCCCAGAGUCUGAAUCAGCUUGUGUGUUAGUGGAACGGUCUGGAAAGUCCGACGGUACAGGGUGAUAGUCCCGUACACCAAAAUGCACAGGUUGUGAACUCGAAGAGUAGGGCGGGACACGUGGUAUCCUGUCUGAAUAUGGGGGGACCAUCCUCCAAGGCUAAAUACUCCUGACUGACCGAUAGUGAACCAGUACCGUGAGGGAAAGGCGAAAAGAACCCCGGCGAGGGGAGUGAAAAAGAACCUGAAACCGUGUACGUACAAGCAGUGGGAGCACCUUCGGGUGUGACUGCGUACCUUUUGUAUAAUGGGUCAGCGACUUAUAUUCUGUAGCAAGGUUAACCGUAUAGGGGAGCCGCAGGGAAACCGAGUCUUAACUGGGCGUUAAGUUGCAGGGUAUAGACCCGAAACCCGGUGAUCUAGCCAUGGGCAGGUUGAAGGUUGGGUAACACUAACUGGAGGACCGAACCGACUAAUGUUGAAAAAUUAGCGGAUGACUUGUGGCUGGGGGUGAAAGGCCAAUCAAACCGGGAGAUAGCUGGUUCUCCCCGAAAGCUAUUUAGGUAGCGCCUCGUGAACUCAUCUUCGGGGGUAGAGCACUGUUUCGGCUAGGGGGUCAUCCCGACUUACCAACCCGAUGCAAACUACGAAUACCGAAGAAUGUUAUCACGGGAGACACACGGCGGGUGCUAACGUCCGUCGUGAAGAGGGAAACAACCCAGACCGCCAGCUAAGGUCCCAAAGUCAUGGUUAAGUGGGAAACGAUGUGGGAAGGCACAGACAGCCAGGAUGUUGGCUUAGAAGCAGCCAUCAUUUAAAGAAAGCGUAAUAGCUCACUGGUCGAGUCGGCCUGCGCGGAAGAUGUAACGGGGCUAAACCAUGCACCGAAGCUGCGGCAGCGACACUAUGUGUUGUUGGGUAGGGGAGCGUUCUGUAAGCCUGCGAAGGUGGCCUGUGAGGGUUGCUGGAGGUAUCAGAAGUGCGAAUGCUGACAUAAGUAACGAUAAAGCGGGUGAAAAGCCCGCUCGCCGGAAGACCAAGGGUUCCUGUCCAACGUUAAUCGGGGCAGGGUGAGUCGACCCCUAAGGCGAGGCCGAAAGGCGUAGUCGAUGGGAAACAGGUUAAUAUUCCUGUACUUGGUGUUACUGCGAAGGGGGGACGGAGAAGGCUAUGUUAGCCGGGCGACGGUUGUCCCGGUUUAAGCAUGUAGGCGGAGGUUCCAGGUAAAUCCGGUACCUUUUAACGCUGAGGUGUGAUGACGAGGCACUACGGUGCUGAAGUAACAAAUGCCCUGCUUCCAGGAAAAGCCUCUAAGCAUCAGGUAACAUCAAAUCGUACCCCAAACCGACACAGGUGGUCAGGUAGAGAAUACCAAGGCGCUUGAGAGAACUCGGGUGAAGGAACUAGGCAAAAUGGUGCCGUAACUUCGGGAGAAGGCACGCUGGUGUGUAGGUGAAGUCCCUGCGGAUGGAGCUGAGACCAGUCGAAGAUACCAGCUGGCUGCAACUGUUUAUUAAAAACACAGCACUGUGCAAACACGAAAGUGGACGUAUACGGUGUGACGCCUGCCCGGUGCCGGAAGGUUAAUUGAUGGGGUUAUCCGUAAGGAGAAGCUCUUGAUCGAAGCCCCGGUAAACGGCGGCCGUAACUAUAACGGUCCUAAGGUAGCGAAAUUCCUUGUCGGGU